CCACACGCGUAUACGUACGGAGAGUCCGAAAGUAUGCGGAGGUAAUCAUGGUGAUGAUGCCCUAUAUACCGGACCUUUGGCCAUUGGCUCAGUCUGCAUCUCUCCGUGUCGGCGGGAGGAAAAGCACAACAAAUUGCACCGUCUUCUGUUUAGGAAAGUGGUGACCCAUUCAUCAAAUGGUGAAGCGGUGUUUUAACUCUGGAAGUUCUUGAGACAUUCCCUUUUCGUCACUGAAUAUAUUCAACUGAUAAUGACAGAUUGAUGCGCCGCAACAAAGGCUUCAUCGAUUGGUACCCAUUGAGGGAUCGGCCCAGGUACAUGUUAGCGAAGAAUAGAUGAUAUUGAUCCGAGCAAGAGGGGUAGUUUAAUCAGUACCUCAUCAAUUAUUGGUCUUCUUUCACCCAUGGAGCUCUCAGAGAGGAUAAUGGCUAUAGAAACGUAUCCACAUGACUAGUCAGGGUAACCCUUCUGUGUUUAUCGUCUCAGUGAGGUACGCGACUAAAAAGGCCACUUCGAAUCUAGGUCAUCAGACGGUAGAAAGAACCGGCACUUUGCAGACGACUUCGAUGCAGGCGACUAUUAUAUGAGACAGCUGCCUGGACAUACAUAACGUGACUGCUAAACCAUUACAUUUAUUGUACGACAUUAACGGUACCGCGUUAUGCACUUAAUAAGGAACUGUUAAUUGCAUCUAUAGAAGUGGAUGGACUCCUGUCAUGCUAUUUUACAGAUUGGUAAUUUGUUGUUUUCCUAUUAAACCUGUUGUUAGAAAAAAGUUUGAGCUUAGAGGAAAUAAACAAAUGAGGAGUUCAUCAUUAAGAGCUAGGCAUCUAGAUAUUCUCCUUACGGAUCAGCUGGCUCCUUGAUGACAUUCACUCCUAAGUAAACAGUGUCCAGGGCAGGUAUUUGAUCGACUUUCUUCAAUAUCAUUCUGAAGUCUUUGUUAAUGUUGAUGCGUGACUAAAUUUCUCUCGAGGUUGUUAGUUAUGCUUGACUUAAGCUAGACAUAAUUCCAAACUGUAAUCGCAUUCUAUGUUUCUGUCUCGGGAUCGCAACGUACAUUUUGAUACCGUUUAGGACUUGAGGCGUGUAAUCGUCUUGUGCAUCGAUCUUUCACCAACUCUCGUAUUCUCACGCUUGCAAAUACUGCUUCCAUAUAUUCUUGAAAGUCCUGAUUUUUAUUGGUAACGAGACCCACCAUUGAAUCAAAUCUUGGUGGGAUUUUCCUUUUCACCGUCAAGACGCGCUGACUAAUUCAGGAUGUCUGCCCAACGUAUCGCUAGGAGGCGCAUCUCGGCCGAUAAGCAGGCCGCAGCCGCCAAUACCGACUUCGCAAACCUCAACAACAACCUCGACGUCAACGAUUACGACACCAAGAUGAAGUCGAGGGAUGUCAAGAACUGCUUGGACAAAAUGGAUGGUAAUCUAUCGCCUGCCUCGAUCAGAAGGCGGACCACGCGAUCAAAAAGCGUCCAAAACUCAGAUCUCAUGUCACAUGACAUCUCGAUGAAUUUGAUGAGAAAACAGGUACGAUCAGCGUCGGAUGCGCAGCUAUCGCUCGAUAAAUUGCAAACGAGGAUGGAGAUGUCGUCUGCGAAGUCAGAUGAAACUUUCGACGAAUCGAAAGAGAUAGACGAUCACGUGACAUCGGAUAGGAGCCAAUUAGAAGAGUUGAUAUCACCGAGAUCGUGGUCAGAUAUGAUCGCAAGUGAUAUCGCCAUAUCUUACGAUCAGAUAGAUGAUCAUUGUCAACAUAACUCUAAUAACAAUAAUCAUAAGAGCGAUACUAUAGCAAACACAAUUAAAGUUCCAGACCAGCUAAAGCAUGGCAAUGGUGUCCUGAAAAAGGCGUUUGUAGAAGAUGUUACAUUUCAUGACGUCAGUUCAAGACAACGGAUCAGAUCGUUUGAACCCAAAGAUGACGUAAUAACACCGCGCACGUGGGAUGAGAUGGUAGCAGAGGAUAGCGAAUCACGUGACCAUACUCAAGAUAGACAUGAUAAUGGUGAAUCAACCUCGGAGCAAGGUCUACAUCCGAUUGCGUCAUCUGAAGGAGAGAAUGACCAACCGGAUCCCCGGGCAGCCUCGGUAGAGUUUGCAUGGCCUAAGGAGUUGCCUAGCAACAGAUCGGUAUCACGUGACAGGGAGACACAACAUGAUGUACGAUGUGAAAAUCAGUGCAAAGCAUUUAGAGAGACUGACCCUGAGUUAAGGUUGGCUCGGUUGGAGUGGAAUUUACGCAUGUUGAAUAGAGACCUGACGGCGAUGAGAAAAACGGACCAACAAAUAUUUCGACAACUCCUCAGUAACUACGAGACGAUUGGUCAGGUCGCUGAUCACGUGACGGUCAUUACGGAAACGCCUUCCCCGUUACCUCCUUCCUCUUCUCCAUAUCCAGUCACACCGAGGUCUAACCCGAGUAGCCCCGAGAAAACCCGACCAUACUCGACCACUCCGGGAGAUACCGAACUACUCCGAAUCAUCAGGGAAGCGCUCGAUCAUCCAGGAGCACUGAACAUUGGGAACAUCGUAGAUCAGUUAUCUCCGAUUCGACGCCGAAGAAGCAGCGAACCCACCACGAUAGAAUACGAAGACCUCCCGCCAUGCUUCGACGAAGAAGAUGAUCAAGAACUAGAAGAUCUCUUGAGUUUAUCUUGUCCAGUUUUUAAGGAACCCAAAGCUCCUAUUAAACGUCGAAACACGCAAGGAACCGACCUAUGACGUCAGGAGGAUGCCUUGGUAGAAAGAGACUAAUAAUAAUUGUUGCAUCUCGAAGCUGAUGGAUUUAGAGGAAAGUGUUCAUCCUAUUUCUCGUAAACGUCUUACAGGGUGGUAAUGGACUCACCGACGAUGAGAAGAAAGAAAUCCUGGCUCAACAUAAUCAGUACCGUAGUGAUGUACAACCAACUGCUGCAAACAUGUUACCUCUGCCUCGUUCUCUUAUUACAGCAAUGGAACAAUGAGAUUGCAAAUUUGUCGCAAUGGUGGGUUAACCAAUGCGACUUGAGCCUCAACAGCCCUUCUUCAACAAAAUGGACUACAUGUACGUUAGGCAGGAGCGUCGCCUAUGGGCCCGUCGACACAAAUUUGUCUUUGUUUGUGGAGUGGUGGCAUAAUGUGACGCAUCAAUAUAACUUCGAAGACAACACCUGUGCCGGUAAUUGUUAUCGUUACACUCAGAUGGUGUCGGCUACAACUUCUUUCGUUGGAUGUGGCAAGGCUGGUUGUUUUAAUGGCACAAUAUUCUACUGUAUAUACGGACCCAGAGGUAAUGUGACCCAUCGCCCAUACGAAUCAGGUGUGCCCUGUUCUAGUUGCCCUGAAAGUGAAGGAGUUACGUAUAGCUGCGAGAAUAAUCUUUGCACCUUGGACUAAUGGCUUGGAAAGGCUGACAUGACAACGAGAUUGGACUGAACUACCCAACGUCAACCCGUUCAAAGGAACUGAUUAUGUUUUAUUUUUUCUUCUACUCAUCAAACCGCCGCACAAACCGCGGGGGGGGGGGGGGGUUUCUUCUUGUAAAGGUUAAAACCUGCUGGUUGUGGUUUACUUCAAUUAAUAUAUAUAGAGGCCUUCUUUUUAUUUUUAUUUCGAAAUCUGUGUUCGUAAUAUCUAUAGUUUUAAAGCAAUGUUAUAUACUGCAUUAUAUUGAACAUUGUCUUGAAUACUUCAAUGCUGUUUGCAGACAUGGGAAUUCUGAUCUUCUUUCUUAAUCUUUACCGUUCAUGUCAUUGUAACCAUUAUUUGUUUUUAUUUGAUGCUCUCUCCCUCUAUUUUACCAUUAUUUAAAUCUUGAUUUUUUAUAUCAUCAAUGAAUUUCAUCGUUGAAAGACUUACUUCAUUAUUAUCCCUAUCAUAUCAAUUUAUUUCGUUCAUUCAAUUGUAAACUUAUAGUUCUUUUAAAAUGAGAAGUCUUCUAUCACAGCCCAACUAUAAACCAAAUUAAGUCACGUUCUAGGGAUUUUAGGGAGGACGUUCCUAAAAUCAAUAAAAGUGCCCUUGUAUAUACAGUGCGUCCCAAAAAAAAAUGAAACCCAGAAUUGUCGAUGUUUUAUCAUAACUUAAUCACAAUUAUAAUUAAUAAAUGACACAUAUUUGUAAACCUUAGAUCCUCCUCUUUGAUUUGAUGCAACUCAUAUGAUCCAUAUAACACGCAUGGGUGAUUAAAAUAAAUUUGAAGAGAGGGAACCAAAAAGUCAUGUGGCGGACGGUAUUUGAAUUUUUAGAGAGAGAAAAUCACAUUUCCAGAGAGUUGAAUUUCUACCAUUUCAUAUGACACCUCUAUCCGGAAAAAUGAGCUAGGAAUAACGAAGUUCUGUUUGCGUAAAGUAAUGCUUGCAUUUCCGUAAUUUCAUUAAAAUUAUUCGUUUUCACUGGGCGCCUGACGUAAUAACAAGAAGAAUUGACAAAAGACUUACAGGAGCUACACAAAGAAAAUUCACUAACAACUCGUAAUUAGAACAAAUUAUAUAUGGAUGGAAAGAUUUUCUCUUGAAAAA